AACGAACGCUGGCGGCAUGCCUAACACAUGCGAGUCGAACGAGACCUUCGGGUCUAGUGGCGCACGGGUGCGUAACGCGUGGGAACCUGCCCUUAGGUUCGGAAUAACUCCCCGAAAGGGGUGCUAAUACCGGAUAAUGUCUUCGGACCAAAGAUUUAUCGCCUUUGGAUGGGCCCGCGUUGGAUUAGCUAGUUGGUAGGGUAAAAGCCUACCAAGGCGACGAUCCAUAGCUGGUCUGAGAGGAUGAUCAGCCACAUUGGGACUGAGACACGGCCCAGACUCCUACGGGAGGCAGCAGUGGGGAAUAUUGGACAAUGGGCGAAAGCCUGAUCCAGCAAUGCCGCGUGAGUGAUGAAGGCCUUAGGGUUGUAAAGCUCUUUUACCCGGGAUGAUAAUGACAGUACCGGGAGAAUAAGCUCCGGCUAACUCCGUG
rnacentral:rRNA from 1 species